rnacentral:rRNA from 1 species
UACGGAGGAUCCAAGCGUUAUCCGGAUUUAUUGGGUUUAAAGGGUGCGUAGGCGGAAGAUUAAGUCAGUGGUGAAAGUUUGCAGCUCAACUGUAAAAUUGCCAUUGAAACUGAUUUUCUUGAGUGUAAAUGAGGUAGGCGGAAUGUGUUGUGUAGCGGUGAAAUGCUUAGAUAUAACACAGAACACCAAUUGCGAAGGCAGCUUACUGGGAUACAACUGACGCUGAGGCACGAAAGCGUGGGGAUCAAAC